rnacentral:lncRNA from 1 species
GCCGCUAUCUUUGAUGCCGUAAACAACAGUGGGAAGGUACCAAGAAUAUGGAAGGAUGCAAUUAUUGUUCCAAUUCAUAAAAAAGGCUCGACAGAUGACCCGGGAAAUUACAGGAAUAUCAGUUUAUUGUCAUUAAUUGGGAAAAUAUAUGCACGGUUCUUGUUAACUAAGCUUACUAAGUGGGCCGAAGAGAACAACCUGAUUGGGCCUGAACAGGCUGGUUUUAGACCGAAUCAGUCAGCGGUUGAUCAGGUCUUAAUUUUAUACCACCUUGCCCGGAAAUACUCCUCCCCAAAUAGAGGCCAACUUUGUGCGGCCUUUAUUGAUUUAAAGGCCGCUUUUGACAGCAUCCCCAGAGGAUUGCUUUGGGGAAAAUUAGCCCGAUGGGGAAUAGACAAAAGACUUUUGUGGCUAAUAACUAAAUUGCAUGACGGAUCGGCCGCUAGGGUGAGAAUCACUCCGGCAGGCGACCUCUCAAACUCAGUAGUUAUCAAUAGAGGUGUUCGCCAAGGAUGUAUCCUUGCUCCGACCCUUUUUAAUCUAUUUAUAAGUGAUAUGAGGGCGCCUCUGAUAGAGGCUCAAGAAACGAUCCACGCCCCCCGUCUUGCCCAAUAUCGUUGCCCCCUUCUACUCUACGCAGACGACGCAGUGAUCCUAUCCUUUUCAAGAGUCGGCCUUAGGAGGGCAUUAAAAAUCUUCGAUGUUUACUGCAAAUCAAAUUUUCUUACAAUUAACCAUGUUAAGUCCAAAGUCCUAAUUUUCACCAAGAGUCGAAAAACCUAUAAUUGGAGAAUAGACGGAAAAGCUAUUGACCAAGUCUUUAAAUUUCAGUACUUGGGAGUCUUUCUCCAACACAACAUGGGCUGGAAGGUCCAUGUUGCAUAUGUAUUAAACAGAGCUAAAGCCCUUUCCUAUGCGCUAUUGCGUUUUUCUUUUCAGAUGGGGCUUUCCAUAUUCCAUCAGUGUUAAAAGUUUUCAAGGCAAAGGUGAUUGCAACAAUAGCAUAUGCAGUCCCAUUAUGGGGGUCCUUUGCUAAUCUAACCCAUUUGGAGGUAAUCCAAAACCAGCUUUUAAGAAGGUUGUUAAAAUUACCCAGGUGUGUAAGCAAUACUGCUAUACGACUGGAACUAAAUGUUACAUCUCUAGAAACCACAUUAUGGAAAUGCAUCCUCUGUUAUUGGCUGGCUUUAUGGCAUAAACUUCCAAAUCUCCACUUGAUACAGUGCCUCUGGAGAGAUGACUUCCCUAGCCCCUGGGCAAAAACAAUACAUGGGAAACUUGUGUCCCUAGGACUAUCUCCAUCUGAACUAUUAAAAUUGGAUUUAAUUUCGGCCAAAAGAAUUAUAACUUACAAAUUAGAGGAGAUGGAUUUACAAUUUAAUAUUGCGACAGGUGGUGGCACCUGUUCGCCGAUAAACCUUGGCUUAACACCACCAACGAAACUUCCAUCUUACUUAACUACCUUAUCUGUGGUGACGCACAGGUAUGCCUUUAUAAUGGCUAGAUUCAAUGCUUUCCCAUCAAACGUGCUGGGUAACAGACUCUCCAACGGACAGAUCUCACUCCUCUGUGACUGUAAAAGCGGAUCUAUAGAAUCGUUAUAUCAUAUAAUCUUCUGUUGUCCAUUACAUUCGGCUUCACGGUCCAAGUUUCUGGCCCCAUAUUUAUCGAGAAUUGCUGACAGUCCUCAGGAAGCCCAAAUAAUAUACUUAUUAAACGACGAAGAUACAAGUAGAUCCCUUGCAGUCGCUACAUACCUGAUUAAUGUUUUAUUUCAAAAGAGGAGAAAUGGAUCACUGUAUGUUUCUGACAGCUUAGCUAAACUUAAGAACCAUCAAUAAGUGCCAGAACUAAGACGUAUACCCCCCAAAAUCUGAUGGAUCGGAAUUGCGGUUUACAUAGAGGGAGCUUAUUGUGUACAGUGUUUACUAAACUAAAGUAAAAUCGGUUUUAUAAGGGUGUUUUAACUUGGAACUGUUUAAAUUGUAUUGUUUAUGGAUAAAUUCUGAUGUAUUGUUUUCGAUAUGGGCCAAUGGCCGCAAUAAAUAAAUCUCUCUCUCCAUGCAUGGAUAGUUUAAUUAGAAUUAAAGAUAAUCAUUGCUGUUCAAAGUGUGCCUGUUUAUCUGGACUGUUGUCAUGCUUUUUCUUCCUGUAAUACAUUAUCAGUUUGCUGGGAGAUUAACUCAGGAGCUUAAAAACUAUCUUAAACAAAGAACAUUGGGGUCCAUGUUUCAGUUUCCAGAGGUUGUCUGAUAUGUGGGAAGUGGGUAAGAUUCACAGUAAGCUUUAAGGCCUGCUAAUAAAUCUCAUUCAAGAUUACAUGGCAAUAAAGCAACACAUUUUAAAUCAUUUCUUGAGGUUACUUUCUAUAGCUCUCAAUGACAAGGGAGGAUUUUUGAUUACAUAUGAUGGGGAACACUGAGGAGGCUACUGGUUUUCCAGUAAAUGGCACCUCUGUUCUUUUUCAACUGGAAAAGCUACAGAGGAUUAGCAGAGUUGUGUGGAUUAAUUGUUCCACCUGAACUUGGCCUCCCACCCUGGAAAGAAGAGGAAGAGGAAAAAGUGUUCAAAUUCAGACAGAGUGAAGAUGGAGGGAUAUUUGAGAGCUAAGUUGUGCUAUUAAUGACAUUCUUGAAUGGAAACGGAUGCAAUACAAAUUUACAAAAUUUCAGUUAUGAGAAAGUGGAGGUUUAUCACACAACAAUGUAUUUAAAAAUGAAAGUAUUUUAAAAGUUGGAUGAUUUAACUGAAUGACAAAAAUAGGCUUUCAGAAGGUGGCAAUGGGUUUUUUUUUUUGCCUUUUCCCAGCUCUGAUUUCAAUGCACCCCAUACAUACUGUUUAAAUUUAAAUAAAAAAUUCAGUACCCUCCAUCAGAUGAUAAGAGUGUAUUCUGGAGUUUGGGUUAAGUUUGCCACAGUAAUUUGAACAAGUCCAAUACAAAUCGUAUACAAUGUACAGCAGAAUGUUUUGAACAAGAUCCACCCAAAAUUCCUGAAGUAUUAAUAUGUUUCAAAACACAUAUGAUGACUGUAAGAAGGGGAGAGCAUUUUAUUCCACACCAGCCAACUCUUUCAGACCCAAAACCAAGACAUGCAUCUUCUGUGUUUGCACUCCCUGGUGAGUCACGUGGCACAUGACCCGCUCUCACCCCUCCCCCCAAAGCACAAGAUCAUGGCCCUGAAAAGGCAUUUUUUCCAGGGUGAGAACACAGUGUGAGAGUGUGAGAUUGAGGCACCCAAAAUGGUCACUGUGAUCUCGCGUGAAAAAAUGGGAUGUCCAAUUUUUUCUGGGGCACUUGGCAGCUAUGUAAGGGUCAGUUCAGGACUGAAUGAAAGCCAAUAGCCUAUAGAGUAUGGGACUAAGUUGGGGCAUUCUAUAACUAUAAAGUUCAUGUUACAAUGAAAUCAUGUCUCCAGUACCAUUAUAUUUUAUUUGUUCAUCUUAAAACUUACUAAAUCCUAAUUAACGGCCUUGUCAUUAUAGCCCCUGAUACACAUAGCCUUGCCUGUUCUUUCAUUUCCUCCCCAAGGUUCAUUUCCACCCUUUAAAUGUUUUCUUGGUUAAUUCAUGCCGGUGGCUUAAUUAGGAAGAACAAUUUGUCUACGAAGGUCAUAUUUCCAUGUGAAAAGGCAUUACUAUUAAAGUGUAAAUGCCAAAGAAAGAACUCUCAUGCUGGCUCUGAACAAUUUGUGAUCAAGAUAACUAGAAUUAGAUUGACUAAUUUUCACUUUGUGGAAAUUGCAUGGGGUGUCAUCCGUCAGGUAGUUCUUUGUUCAAGCACUUCUGAAAUUAAUAGGAGCUGCACUAGGACACUCCUGGUCUCUUUGUUUUUAGUGGAUCUUGUACAAGAGAACUUUACAGUGGGGUUGUGCCCAUAAACUGAUAAGAACAUGACAGUACAAUUUGUGAUUUGCUUUGCCAAACACAGCUCUCAGCAACAAUGUAUGGGAGUUCAUUGGGAGCUUGAUGAAAUUGUUCCCUGUCUGGAAGUACCAGAAUCAAGCAGUUUCUUAAGCAUCGAGUAAGCCACAAUACCUGGCUAGGUGGUUACUUUUGACUGUCAUUGUCACAAAUAGUGCUUUACUUCUCUCCUUUUGUAUUCCUUUAUUUUUGAGUGCCUAAUGCUCUUUCAUGCAAUUUAUUUCAUCCAUAAGAUGACCUGAAUCCUUUUAUUAUAGUGCUACAAGUCAGGGGUUGGGAACGCCCUGAGCUCCCUUCUCCUCCUGCAGGCUGCUUUGACCGUGCCGUCAGGCCAUGCACCUCUCAGUCACCUGACACCAGGUGACCAAACUUUUAACACCCCCCCCCGUCCAAAACUAUAGAUCCCAAGGUUCCUAGGGAACAAGGAAUGCCUGUUACCUCACUUUAUUUGCAUUUACAUAGUGGGUACAAGCCCUGAGAAGGCACAGCAGAAACUAAUUUCAACACAGAAUACAGGUAAAAUGCUCAUUCUUACCUUUAAAGCACAUUUGAAACACCUUUUACCCCUCAAAGAAUAAGGGGCACUGUAGUUUAUUAAGGGUUGCUGGGAACUGUAAGUCUGUGAGAGGUAAACUUGUUGUUUAGUCGUGUCCGACUCUUCGUGACCCCAUUGACCAGAGCAGUGCCCAUAAUUCUUUGAGGAGAGUGUUUGAAAGUUUCCUCAGGAGUGUUUGAAAGCUCCAGUGUGCUCACAGCCAUCAACUAACUGGUUGACUGUGGGAUGCAGCAGAUGACAACACACAAUAUCUAAGGU